CGAAAUGCGAUAAGUAGUGUGAAUUGCAGAAUUCCGUGAAUCAUCGAAUCUUUGAACGCACAUUGCG
rnacentral:rRNA from 1 species